rnacentral:rRNA from 1 species
AUGUUCUCCCCAUCGUCCAUCGCACUCCGUUUCCGCACGUGCACCAGCGCACCGGGAUCGCAUCGCACUGCGCGAACCACUCCCAAAGUCCCCACUGGACUCCACCCGCCCCUCCCCACCCCGCGGAUCCGGAAUCCUCCACGAAUUAACGAGUUUCCCUUCCCCUGCUGCCCGGCCGGCGCGCGCGGUGACCAUCGUCCAUCGACCGAAGCCAGCGCGCCCCCGCGACCAGAUCCGAGCGGAGGGAUGACUGGGGCGGCGUCGCAGGCGUACGGGGAGGCGUGGUACUGGGACGAGCGGUACCGCAAGGAGUCGGGGCCCUUCGACUGGUACCAGAAGUACCCCGCCCUCGCGCCGCUGCUCCGCCUCUACGUGCGCCCGCACCAGCGCCUCCUCCUCGUCGGAUGCGGCAACUCCGUUUUUGGUGAAAACAUGGUUCAUGAUGGUUACCAGGACGUUGUCAACAUUGAUAUAUCGUCUGUGGUGAUUGAACAAAUGAAGAAGAAAUACCAUGAUAAGCCUCAACUAAAAUACACGAAGAUGGAUGUAAGAAACAUGUCAGACUUUGAGUCUGGUUCAUUUGAUGCUGUUAUUGACAAAGGAACACUAGAUUCUAUUAUGUGCGGCCAAAAUUCACAAGAGCAUGCAGCAAAGAUGCUAGGGGAGGUGAACAGAAUCCUCAACGAUAAGGGGGUCUACAUUAUGAUUACUUAUGGGGAUCCAAGUUAUCGAUUGAAUCUUCUGAAGGACCUCCAAUUUUGGACAGUAAAGCUUCACGUCAUAGAUAGGUGGGAGAGAAGUUCCAAAAAGACAUGGGACCUGACCGAGCCACUGCCUUUACAAGAUGAUAGUACAUCGAUUAUCAACCUUCUUGGCCCAAAACCUGAUGUUCACUAUAUUUAUGUCUGUAUAAAGGACAACGACAGUGCAAGAGUGGAGUUGAAGGUCGAGAUCAAUGAAGCAGACAAAUGA